UACGAAGGGGGCUAGCGUUGUUCGGAAUUACUGGGCGUAAAGCGUGCGCAGGCGGCUUCUCAAGUCAGGGGUGAAAGCCCAGAGCUCAACUCUGGAAUUGCCUUUGAGACUGAGUGGCUUGAGUACGAGAGAGGUGAGUGGAAUUCCCAGUGUAGAGGUGAAAUUCGUAGAUAUUCGCAAGAACACCGGUGGCGAAGGCGGCCAACUGGACCAUUACUGACGCUGAGGCGCGAAAGCGUGGGGAGCAAACAGG
rnacentral:rRNA from 1 species